rnacentral:rRNA from 1 species
CCUACGGGAGGCAGCAGUGGGGAAUAUUUGGCAAUGGGCGCAAGCCUGACCCAGCAACGCCGCGUGAAGGAAGAAGGCUUUCGGGUUGUAAACUUCUUUUCUCAGGGACGAAGCAAGUGACGGUACCUGAGGAAUAAGCCACGGCUAACUACGUGCCAGCAGCCGCGGUAAUACGUAGGUGGCAAGCGUUAUCCGGAUUUACUGGGCGUAAAGGGCGGGUAGGCGGGAAAGCAAGUCAGAUGUGAAAACCAUGGGCUCAACCUGUGGCCUGCAUUUGAAACUGUUUCUCUUGAGUACUGGAGAGGCAGACGGAAUUCCUAGUGUAGCGGUGAAAUGCGUAGAUAUUAGGAGGAACACUCGUGGCGAAGGCGGUCUGCUGGACAGCAACUGACGCUGAGGCGCGAAAGCGUGGGGAGUAAACAGGAUUAGAUACCCGUGUAGUC